UCUGUAAGCCUGCGAAGGUGACCUGUGAGGGUUGCUGGAGGUAUCAGAAGUGCGAAUGCUGACAUAAGUAACGAUAAAGCGGGUGAAAAGCCCGCUCGCCGGAAGACCAAGGGUUCCUGUCCAACGUUAAUCGGGGCAGGGUGAGUCGACCCCUAAGGCGAGGCCGAAAGGCGUAGUCGAUGGGAAACGGGUUAAUAUUCCCGUACUUGGUGUUACUGCGAAGGGGGGACGGAGAAGGCUAUGUUGGCCGGGCGACGGUUGUCCCGGUUUAAGCGUGUAGGUGUGUGUUCCAGGUAAAUCCGGUUCACUUUAACACUGAGGCGUGACGACGAGGCACUACGGUGCUGAAGCAACAAAUGCCCUGCUUCCAGGAAAAGCCUCUAAGCAUCAGGUAACACGAAAUCGUACCCCAAACCGACACAGGUGGUCAGGUAGAGAAUACCAAGGCGCUUGAGAGAACUCGGGUGAAGGAACUAGGCAAAAUGGUGCCGUAACUUCGGGAGAAGGCACGCUGACACGUAGGUGAAGUGAUUUACUCAUGGAGCUGAAGUCAGUCGAAGAUACCAGCUGGCUGCAACUGUUUAUUAAAAACACAGCACUGUGCAAACACGAAAGUGGACGUAUACGGUGUGACGCCUGCCCGGUGCCGGAAGGUUAAUUGAUGGGGUCAGCGCAAGCGAAGCUCCUGAUCGAAGCCCCGGUAAACGGCGGCCGUAACUAUAACGGUCCUAAGGUAGCGAAAUUCCUUGUCGGGUAAGUUCCGACCUGCACGAAUGGCGUAAUGAUGGCCAGGCUGUCUCCACCCGAGACUCAGUGAAAUUGAACUCGCUGUGAAGAUGCAGUGUACCCGCGGCAAGACGGAAAGACCCCGUGAACCUUUACUAUAGCUUGACACUGAACAUUGAGCCUUGAUGUGUAGGAUAGGUGGGAGGCUUUGAAGUGUGGACGCCAGUCUGCAUGGAGCCGACCUUGAAAUACCACCCUUUAAUGUUUGAUGUUCUAACGUGGACCCGUAAUCCGGGUUGCGGACAGUGUCUGGUGGGUAGUUUGACUGGGGCGGUCUCCUCCUAAAGAGUAACGGAGGAGCACGAAGGUUGGCUAAUCCUGGUCGGACAUCAGGAGGUUAGUGCAAUGGCAUAAGCCAGCUUGACUGCGAGCGUGACGGCGCGAGCAGGUGCGAAAGCAGGUCAUAGUGAUCCGGUGGUUCUGAAUGGAAGGGCCAUCGCUCAACGGAUAAAAGGUACUCCGGGGAUAACAGGCUGAUACCGCCCAAGAGUUCAUAUCGACGGCGGUGUUUGGCACCUCGAUGUCGGCUCAUCACAUCCUGGGGCUGAAGUAGGUCCCAAGGGUAUGGCUGUUCGCCAUUUAAAGUGGUACGCGAGCUGGGUUUAGAACGUCGUGAGACAGUUCGGUCCCUAUCUGCCGUGGGCGCUGGAGAACUGAGGGGGGCUGCUCCUAGUACGAGAGGACCGGAGUGGACGCAUCACUGGUGUUCGGGUUGUCAUGCCAAUGGCACUGCCCGGUAGCUAAAUGCGGAAGAGAUAAGUGCUGAAAGCAUCUAAGCACGAAACUUGCCCCGAGAUGAGUUCUCCCUGAGACUUAGAGUCUCCUGAAGGAACGUUGAAGACGACGACGUUGAUAGGCCGGGUGUGUAAGCGCAGCGAUGCGUUGAGCUAACCGGUACUAAUGAACCGUGAGGCUUAACC
rnacentral:rRNA from 1 species